UCUCAAAAACGCUUUUUUUUGGGGCCCGUCGCUAAAAAAUUUAUGUAAGUGUUAAAAACCGUCGCCUAUAAUUUAUUAUAGGCGACGGUUUUUAACACUCGUAUAAAUUAGGCGACGGUUUGUAAAUGUAGAGAAAAAAUUUGAAAAAAAAAAUAAUACACUAUUCGCGACAGUUUAGAACUGUUGGGCAAACCGCGAUCAGUACUUUGCCCGACGGUUCAAAACCGUCGGGGAAGGGGAAGCCCCUUUAUAAUAAAACUCUCAUCUCUCAUCAAUACAAAUUCAUAUCACGCUCACCCUCUCUCUCACGCCCCAAACCCUCUCGUUCUUCGCCUCCAGCCACCGUUUCAGAUCGUUGUUCAUCAUCGACGAGCCCCAAACCCUCUCAUUCUUCGCCCCGCGAGCAGCAAGUUUCUCUCCGGCUAGUUCCAGUCCCAAACUUUCGUUGUUCGGUCGAGAUUGAAGGCCUCGUACAAGAUCAGAACAACCCAUAUCCCAUCGGGUUCAGAGGCCUACUCUGCUCCUUCCUUCUAGGGUAAGAGCAAUCUGUAUUCAAUCAACGAGAUGAAUCUUCCGCGUGAUCAGUGGAUUAAAUACGUCCGAGCACAGGCAAGGCGACAAGGGCUAUUAUGAUGAUUAGUGUUUAGUUUUUUGUUUAUACUUUACACUAUAACCAGCUACAAUCAUAUAACUAAAGAUUAAUUAAUAUUUUUACUUUAUGUUUGAGUAAGUAGUUUGUAUAUAUUUUAAUUUUUGUUCAUUUUCAAUUUAUGUUUAUACUUUAUUUUAACUAAUUUGUGACAAUGUAUAAAUUAGUAAAAAUUAAUUAAUGCAGGAGAAAAAAGUAGAAUUUUUUUUUAUUUUUUUCCCUUUUUUUUUGCA